rnacentral:tRNA from 1 species
AGAAUUAAAGUAAAAUUUACAUUUAGUUUCGACCUAAAUUCUUAGCAUUAAAUAAUGCUUAAUUCUA